CGCGUAGGCGGCUUCUCAAGCGUGCGGUGAAAGCUCGGGGCUUAACUCCGAGUCUGCCGUGCGAACUGGGAGGCUUGAGUCUGGUAGAGGUCGAUGGAAUUCCGGGUGUAGCGGUGGAAUGCGUAGAGAUCCGGAAGAACACCGGUGGCGAAGGCGGUCGACUGGGCCAGUACUGACGCUGAGGCGCGACAGCGUGGGGAGCAAACA
rnacentral:rRNA from 1 species